AACGAACGCUGGCGGCAGGCCUAACACAUGCAAGUCGAGCGAGGACUUCGGUUCUAGCGGCGGACGGGUUAGUAACGCGUGGGAAUGUUCCCUUCUCUACGGAAUAGCCCUGGGAAACUGGGAGUAAUACCGUAUACGCCCUAUUGGGGAAAGAUUUAUCGGAGAAGGAUCAGCCCGCGUUGGAUUAGGUAGUUGGUGGGGUAAUGGCCUACCAAGCCGACGAUCCAUAGCUGGUUUGAGAGGAUGAUCAGCCACACUGGGACUGAGACACGGCCCAGACUCCUACGGGAGGCAGCAGUGGGGAAUCUUAGACAAUGGGGGCAACCCUGAUCUAGCCAUGCCGCGUGAGUGAUGAAGGCCUUAGGGUUGUAAAGCUCUUUCAGCUGGGAAGAUAAUGACGGUACCAGCAGAAGAAGCCCCGGCUAACUCCGUG
rnacentral:rRNA from 1 species